rnacentral:rRNA from 1 species
CUAGCGGCAGGCUUACACAUGCAAGUCGAGGGGUAACGAUCUGAGUAUCGGAAGGCGACGACGGCGCACGGGUGAGUAUCGCGUUUGCACCUACCUCUGACUGGAGCAUAGCCCGAAGAAAUUCGGAUUAAUACUCCAUAAUACUGCGAGAAGGCAUCUUUUUUCAGUUAAAGCUUCGGCGGUCAGAGAUGGGCAUGCGUAACAUUAGCUAGUUGGUGAGGUAACUGCUCACCAAGGCUACGAUGUUUAGGGGGUCUGAGAGGAUGGUCCCCCACACUGGUACUGAGACACGGACCAGACUCCUACGGGAGGCAGCAGUGAGGAAUAUUGGUCAAUGGGCGAAAGCCUGAACCAGCCAUGCCGCGUGAAGGAUGACGGCCCUAUGGGUUGUAAACUUCUUUUAUACGGGAAGAAACCUCUCUACGUGUAGAGGGUUGACGGUACCGUACGAAUAAGCAUCGGCUAACUCCGUGCCAGCAGCCGCGGUAAUACGGAGGAUGCAAGCGUUAUCCGGAUUCAUUGGGUUUAAAGGGUGCGCAGGCGGAGAAUUAAGUCAGUGGUGAAAUCCUGCAGCUUAACUGUAGAAUUGUCAUUGAUACUGGUUUUCUUGAAUGCAGUUGAGGUAGGCGGAAUGUGUAAUGUAGCGGUGAAAUGCUUAGAUAUUACCCAGAACACCGAUUGCGAAGGCAGCUUACUAAACUGUGAUUGACGCUGAGGCACGAAAGCGUGGGGAGCGAACAGGAUUAGAUACCCUGGUAGUCCACGCUGUAAAACUAUGAUCACUCGUUGUUGGCAAUACAUCGUCAGCGACUGAGCGAAAGCAUUAAGUGAUCCACCUGGGGAGUACGAUCGCAAGAUUGAAACUCAAAGGAAUUGACGGGGGGCCCGCACAAGCGGAGGAACAUGUGGUUUAAUUCGAUGAUACGCGAGGAACCUUACCUGGGCUUAAAUGCAUAACGACGGACCGGGAAACUGGUCUUUCUUCGGACGGCAUGCAAGGUGCUGCAUGGCUGUCGUCAGCUCGUGCCGUGAGGUGUCGGGUUAAGUCCCAUAACGAGCGCAACCCUUAUCAUUAGUUGCCAGCGGGUAAUGCCGGGGACUCUAAUGAAACUGCCGGUGUAAACCGAGAGGAAGGUGGGGAUGACGUCAAGUCAGCACGGCCCUUAUGUCCAGGGCUACACACGUGUUACAAUGGUCAGUACAGAGGGAAGCUACCAGGCGACUGGAUGCUAAUCUCAAAAACUGGUCUCAGUUCGGAUCGGAGUCUGCAACUCGACUUCGUGAAGUUGGAUUCGCUAGUAAUCGCGCAUCAGCCAUGGCGCGGUGAUACGUUCCCG